rnacentral:rRNA from 1 species
AUGAACGCUGGCGGCGUGCCUAAUACAUGCAAGUCGAGCGAACAGACGAGGAGCUUGCUCCUCUGACGUUAGCGGCGGACGGGUGAGUAACACGUGGAUAACCUACCUAUAAGACUGGGAUAACUUCGGGAAACCGGAGCUAAUACCGGAUAAUAUAUUGAACCGCAUGGUUCAAUAGUGAAAGACGGUUUUGCUGUCACUUAUAGAUGGAUCCGCGCCGCAUUAGCUAGUUGGUAAGGUAACGGCUUACCAAGGCGACGAUGCGUAGCCGACCUGAGAGGGUGAUCGGCCACACUGGAACUGAGACACGGUCCAGACUCCUACGGGAGGCAGCAGUAGGGAAUCUUCCGCAAUGGGCGAAAGCCUGACGGAGCAACGCCGCGUGAGCGAUGAAGGUCUUCGGAUCGUAAAACUCUGUUAUUAGGGAAGAACAAAUGUGUAAGUAACUAUGCACGUCUUGACGGUACCUAAUCAGAAAGCCACGGCUAACUACGUG